AGCGUACACGGUGGAUGCCCUGGCAGUCAGAGGCGAUGAAGGACGUGCUAAUCUGCGAUAAGCGUCGGUAAGGUGAUAUGAACCGUUAUAACCGGCGAUUUCCGAAUGGGGAAACCCAGUGUGUUUCGACACACUAUCAUUAACUGAAUCCAUAGGUUAAUGAGGCGAACCGGGGGAACUGAAACAUCUAAGUACCCCGAGGAAAAGAAAUCAACCGAGAUUCCCCCAGUAGCGGCGAGCGAACGGGGAGGAGCCCAGAGCCUGAAUCAGUGUGUGUGUUAGUGGAAGCGUCUGGAAAGGCGCGCGAUACAGGGUGACAGCCCCGUACACAAAAAUGCACAUACUGUGAGCUCGAUGAGUAGGGCGGGACACGUGGUAUCCUGUCUGAAUAUGGGGGGACCAUCCUCCAAGGCUAAAUACUCCUGACUGACCGAUAGUGAACCAGUACCGUGAGGGAAAGGCGAAAAGAACCCCGGCGAGGGGAGUGAAAAAGAACCUGAAACCGUGUACGUACAAGCAGUGGGAGCCUCUUUUAUGGGGUGACUGCGUACCUUUUGUAUAAUGGGUCAGCGACUUAUAUUCUGUAGCAAGGUUAACCGAAUAGGGGAGCCGAAGGGAAACCGAGUCUUAACUGGGCGUUAAGUUGCAGGGUAUAGACCCGAAACCCGGUGAUCUAGCCAUGGGCAGGUUGAAGGUUGGGUAACACUAACUGGAGGACCGAACCGACUAAUGUUGAAAAAUUAGCGGAUGACUUGUGGCUGGGGGUGAAAGGCCAAUCAAACCGGGAGAUAGCUGGUUCUCCCCGAAAGCUAUUUAGGUAGCGCCUCGUGAAUUCAUCUCCGGGGGUAGAGCACUGUUUCGGCAAGGGGGUCAUCCCGACUUACCAACCCGAUGCAAACUGCGAAUACCGGAGAAUGUUAUCACGGGAGACACACGGCGGGUGCUAACGUCCGUCGUGAAGAGGGAAACAACCCAGACCGCCAGCUAAGGUCCCAAAGUCAUGGUUAAGUGGGAAACGAUGUGGGAAGGCCCAGACAGCCAGGAUGUUGGCUUAGAAGCAGCCAUCAUUUAAAGAAAGCGUAAUAGCUCACUGGUCGAGUCGGCCUGCGCGGAAGAUGUAACGGGGCUAAACCAUGCACCGAAGCUGCGGCAGCGACACUAUGUGUUGUUGGGUAGGGGAGCGUUCUGUAAGCCUGUGAAGGUGUACUGUGAGGUAUGCUGGAGGUAUCAGAAGUGCGAAUGCUGACAUAAGUAACGAUAAAGCGGGUGAAAAGCCCGCUCGCCGGAAGACCAAGGGUUCCUGUCCAACGUUAAUCGGGGCAGGGUGAGUCGACCCCUAAGGCGAGGCCGAAAGGCGUAGUCGAUGGGAAACAGGUUAAUAUUCCUGUACUUGGUGUUACUGCGAAGGGGGGACGGAGAAGGCUAUGUUGGCCGGGCGACGGUUGUCCCGGUUUAAGCGUGUAGGCUGGUUUUCCAGGCAAAUCCGGAAAAUCAAGGCUGAGGCGUGAUGACGAGGCACUACGGUGCUGAAGCAACAAAUGCCCUGCUUCCAGGAAAAGCCUCUAAGCAUCAGGUAACAUCAAAUCGUACCCCAAACCGACACAGGUGGUCAGGUAGAGAAUACCAAGGCGCUUGAGAGAACUCGGGUGAAGGAACUAGGCAAAAUGGUGCCGUAACUUCGGGAGAAGGCACGCUGAUAUGUAGGUGAAGUCCCUCGCGGAUGGAGCUGAAAUCAGUCGAAGAUACCAGCUGGCUGCAACUGUUUAUUAAAAACACAGCACUGUGCAAACACGAAAGUGGACGUAUACGGUGUGACGCCUGCCCGGUGCCGGAAGGUUAAUUGAUGGGGUCAGCGCAAGCGAAGCUCUUGAUCGAAGCCCCGGUAAACGGCGGCCGUAACUAUAACGGUCCUAAGGUAGCGAAAUUCCUUGUCGGGUAAGUUCCGACCUGCACGAAUGGCGUAAUGAUGGCCAGGCUGUCUCCACCCGAGACUCAGUGAAAUUGAACUCGCUGUGAAGAUGCAGUGUACCCGCGGCAAGACGGAAAGACCCCGUGAACCUUUACUAUAGCUUGACACUGAACAUUGAGCCUUGAUGUGUAGGAUAGGUGGGAGGCUUAGAAGUGUGGACGCCAGUCUGCAUGGAGCCGACCUUGAAAUACCACCCUUUAAUGUUUGAUGUUCUAACGUUGACCCGUGAUCCGGGUUGCGGACAGUGUCUGGUGGGUAGUUUGACUGGGGCGGUCUCCUCCUAAAGAGUAACGGAGGAGCACGAAGGUUGGCUAAUCCUGGUCGGACAUCAGGAGGUUAGUGCAAUGGCAUAAGCCAGCUUGACUGCGAGCGUGACGGCGCGAGCAGGUGCGAAAGCAGGUCAUAGUGAUCCGGUGGUUCUGAAUGGAAGGGCCAUCGCUCAACGGAUAAAAGGUACUCCGGGGAUAACAGGCUGAUACCGCCCAAGAGUUCAUAUCGACGGCGGUGUUUGGCACCUCGAUGUCGGCUCAUCACAUCCUGGGGCUGAAGUAGGUCCCAAGGGUAUGGCUGUUCGCCAUUUAAAGUGGUACGCGAGCUGGGUUUAGAACGUCGUGAGACAGUUCGGUCCCUAUCUGCCGUGGGCGCUGGAGAACUGAGGGGGGCUGCUCCUAGUACGAGAGGACCGGAGUGGACGCAUCACUGGUGUUCGGGUUGUCAUGCCAAUGGCACUGCCCGGUAGCUAAAUGCGGAAGAGAUAAGUGCUGAAAGCAUCUAAGCACGAAACUUGCCCCGAGAUGAGUUCU
rnacentral:rRNA from 1 species